GGGAAAAAGAACUUUGAAGAGAGAGUUCAAGAGUACGUGAAACCGUUCAGGGGUAAACCUGAGGAACCCAAAAGAUCGAAUGGGGAGAUUCAUCGUCAAUGGCGCUGGCUUCGCGACGGUGAGCGAUGCUGCCGGGGCUUCGGUCCGGGCGCACGCCGCAGUCGCGCUUAUGUCCGGCGUCGUCGUCGUGCACUUCUCCCCUAGUAGGACGUCGCGACCCGUUGGGUGUCGGUCUACGGCCCGGGUGGGUGCCUAUCGCGCGUCGCUUCGGCGCACGUGGCAGACCCCCGGUCGCCCGACCGGCUGCCCGGCGGUACUCGACGGUAUCGGGCCGCACUCGAACUGCGUCCAGGCCCGCCGCAAGCGCGGUCAGCGAUACACGGAUCUCUCGGACCUCGAGCCGUCUCCGUGCCUGAUCAGCUGUUGGCAGGCGGUGCCCUCGGACAGGCCAUUUGCGCGAAUGUGCGAUACCGGUCCGCGACGCUAUUGCUUUGGGCACCCUCAGGACCCGUCUUGAAACACGGACCAAGGAGUCUAACAUGUGCGCGAGUCAUUGGGGCGCAGAAACCCAAAAGGCGUAAUGAAAGUGAAAGAGGGUCGAGGUCCACGUGGCCUCGACCCAGUGGGAGGAUGGGCUGCGUCGCGAUGCUGCCCCGCACUCCCGGGGCGUCUCGUUCUCACUGCGAGAAGAGGCGCACCAAGAGCGUACACGUUGGGACCCGAAAGAUGGUGAACUAUGCCUGGUCAGGACGAAGUCAGGGGAAACCCUGAUGGAGGUCCGUAGCGAUUCUGACGUGCAAAUCGAUCGUCGGAACUGGGUAUAGCGGCGAAAGACCAAUCGAACCAUCUAGUAGCUGGUUCCCUCCGAAGUUUCCCUCAGGAUAGCUGGCACUCGGAGGAAAACGUAUGAGCGAGUCUCAUCUGGUAAAGCGAAUGAUUAGAGGCCUUGGGGCCGAAACGACCUCAACCUAUUCUCAAACUUUAAAUGGGUGAGAUCUCUGGCUUGCUUGAAAGUUG
rnacentral:rRNA from 1 species